rnacentral:rRNA from 1 species
UACAGAGGGGGCAAGCGUUGUUCGGAAUUACUGGGCGUAAAGGGCGCGUAGGCGGCCAACUAAGUCAGACGUGAAAUCCCUCAGCUUAACUGGGGAACUGCGUCUGAUACUGGAUGGCUUGGAUUUGGGAGAGGAAUGCGGAAUUCCAGGUGUAGCGGUGAAAUGCGUAGAUAUCUGGAGGAACACCGGUGGCGAAGGCGGCAUUCUGGACCAAUAUUGACGCUGAGGAGCGAAAGCCAGGGGAGCAAACGGG